CUCGAAACUUCACUAACGAGGCAGCUUAUUUUCUAAUCCCAGUCAGCAUUGUAGGGCACCGAGCGACUUCUUGGCAGAUACUGCAUCUUCAGCCAGGAGAAGUUGGCUUAGUACAAAAGGGCUUUUGAAGCGAUUUUCGAGAUUGUUGACUAUUAUGUAACAGAUGGCCCAACAGACCUCCGACUCUUUUGCGGUGUUGGCCAGCUUGGCUCAGGAAAAUA